GCUUCUAUUGUUUAAUUAGGUAAGACAUUGUUUUUUCGAAACAAAAAUGUGAGUUCAAUUCUCACUAGAAGUA
rnacentral:tRNA from 1 species